CAUGUAAGCCCCGAUUUGGGAUCUAGGGUUGGAGUUUUUGAUUUAUAUGGCCUUCCUUUGACUUUUGUUGCUUUUUAACUUGUGCUAUGGCCUCCGGAUUGAUAGCAAGCGGAUGCUCCCAGAACAGACCAAGCAAUUGCUCACAUUCGAGCUUUUCCUCUUCCGCUUUUUGGUUUCUGUUUUCAAUGGAGUUGGGGAUCGAUGGAGAAGAAGAAACAAAGAGAUAAAAAGUAUCGCUGUCGACGACGCGGCCGGCAGCCGGAGAAGAGACGGAAAUAGAGAGGAGACCCAUGUAGAAAAGAAAAAAACUCGGUUCUGUUUCUUAAUAAAUUUGUCUAACAAAUGAAAGGAAAAAAGAGUGAUUUUCCAGGUUUAUUUAGGUGAACGAAAAAAAUCAGGGUUGGCUUAAUGGAGAUCGGCUAAAAGGAAGAACGAACUAAAGAGAAGGCACCUCCAGUAAGGGUAAAACACUUAAUCUCUAGGUACUCCGAUUCUGCUUGGAAGAUAAUAGUGGUUUUGUUAUCAAUCUGGUUGCUCAAAAUAUGAAUACUUUACUAUUUUUUUAUUGAAAUGAACCUAAUAACCUGAACACCUUAAAAACUGCCCCUUUAUUGAAAAAUUUGAUUAUCUGUUAUCUUUAAUAAAAAUCCAGCAACAAUAGUUAACAGAACCCAUGUUUUAGCUCGGUUUUGGCCUCAUAUUAUAAGUAGUUUUGUAGCUCUUAAGUUCUUGGUGUAAACGGUGUGAAAAGGGUAAUAGGAGGUUCCUUAAUCCACUUUUAAUUUGUUUUCCAGCUUCCUUUUUUGAACAAAAAAGUUUCAUUUUACCCUUGAAUUCAUUGUUUGCUUAAGUAGGUUGUUUAGUUGAUAGUUGUAGUGAAUAUUAGAUUAGAGGCUGCGUAAAUGGUAGUAAAAUAAACACUAUAGCAUAACGAGUAUAGCGAGCAAAUUGACAUGUAUUGAAACAGGAUAGUAUGUGAAUAACUGAAAAUUAGGAAGAGGUUUGUUUAGAAAUACCGACCUUCUUUUAAAGGAAGAAAACUGAUUUUUGCUCUUCUUCCUAGAUAGCGUGGACGAUAUAUCCUGGCCGCUUGCUCCAAGAGUUUAAGAAUUUGGAAGCUUCGAUGAUGGAUUCUCGAAGUCUCUAUUGGAAUCACUUUGUAUUUUUCUAUUUACUUUUAUCCCUAUUCUUUUGUAAUGGGCUUGGGUGUAAUGGGAUUGUGGUGUAGUGGGAUUGCGGUAUAGUUUUUUCGUUGUAAUUGGUAAAAAACUGCUAUCCUUUCUUCCUUGUUCUAUCCUCCCCCCUUUGGUUUUGGUCUUGAUUUUCCUUUUAAAUGAAAAGGGCUGCCACCUCCCUUGUCUUCAAAUCAAAAUUCA
rnacentral:lncRNA from 1 species